GGGCGGGUAAUGAAUAUUCAUGAGGGGGUGGGUGGGCCGAGAGCCAGCAAGGCCAGCACUCAGCAGGCCACUGCGACCAGAACUGGAACCUGCGAUGUGCUUGCCAGCAUGGAUGGCCGGCGUGGCAUAACCACAGCAUCCUCCUCUCGGGAACCUUGGCGACCCAGGACCGUUGACCGCGGGUCAGAGGGACGGCUGCACGCUUCCUUUGACGGCAACCCUUAUCCCAGCGUCAGGCUCAGAGCAGGGCCGGGUGCAGGUUGAAUCUCCAAUGAGCCUGUUUUAUAACUUUGCUGCUGUUGGCUCAAUCUUCACUCUGAAGGCAUUUGGGGAGGUGCAUUAGCAAGGAGCUGGAUUGGAAGUGGAACAGCUAGGACUCAAACCAGGACCCAUAGGGGAUGUUGGCACUGCAGGCAGCAGCUUUACUGGAUACACUACAGCUCCAGCUUCCUGAUGAUCCAUCUUAAUGUCGGUACUUCGUCUGAACUACUCUCUGGAUUCCCAUGUCUAUACCAACAUGACAGUAAAUACUGGAGAAAUUCCCACCUCUGCAUCUUUUGGCCCCACUCUAAAGUCAAGUCUCUAACAUCAUCUGAAUUUUGACUAUAGCCCAACAACUGCCUUGGAAAUCACUUGUGAUGUCAGAUGGAUGGACAAGCAAGCCAACUGGAGUCAUCCUCUAGGAGAAAGGACACUUUACCCAAAUGGCUAUAUUUCAUUCUACAGAAAAAUGCAACCUGAAACAAAGAACUGUCCUUCAGUCCCCUGGUUUAAGCAAAGGGCCCAUGUGCAUUAUUCCAGGUCUGCACCCCUUUUCAUUCUACUCACAUGUGAACUAUCCGUAUAGGGAAGUAGAAUGUGAGCCAGCAGUAACCAUGUUGGUAGAAGUGGUCAGUGUUUGCAUUAUACAACUGAUUUUAAUGACCUCAUAUUCAGUCAUAAAACUUCUGCUCUUAGCAAGGGACACACACGCACACAGCCAUAUUCACCCCUGUAUGAAAACUAUUAUAAACUGCUUAUUUAGGAGUAUCUUUUUGCAUUUAAUUAUAGCAGUUCUCUACUCUUAUAAAAAACCUCCAUAAAAAACUGAAAAAUGAGUCUAUCAGAAACUAUUUUAAAAAUUGAACUCUAAAUUUAAAAAUAAAAACUAAAAGGUGCCCUAUUUGUGCCUUUGAAUACUUCCUGACCUCUCUUCUGGCUUUCCCCUCCUCCCUCACCCCACAUCCCUUUUCUGCAUCAUUGCCCCAUAUGCCCCUGCAACUCUCUCCCUUUGGAGCAGUCUUGUAGACUGUCAUUCAAUCAUGUGAGGAAUGUUACUUAUUUCAAAAUGAUUCUGUAGGGCAUCCCUAAAUGGCAUCUAAUGGCAAUAAACAGGUCUUCUAACAUCCCUUAACUAUAUUUCUAGCAUAUGUGGAACCAGCAUUGUGGCAUAUUAAGUAAAGCCACUGUGUAUGACACUGGCAUCCCACAUGGGCUGUGGUUCAUGUCCCAGCUACCCUACUUCUUUCUAAUCCAGCUUCCAGGUAACGUAGCAGAGGAUAGCCCAAGUGGUUAUGUCCCUGCUCCUCCAUAGGAGACUUGGAUGAAUCUCUUGGUUCCUGCAUUGACCCAGCCCAGCCAUGGCUGUUGAGACCACUGAGGGAACAAACCAGUAGGUGGAAGAUUCAUUUCUCUCUCUUUCUCUAUCUCUAUCUCUGUGAGUGGUGGGGGUGCAGGUAUCUUUCCCUAUUUCUAACUCUGCCUUUCAAGUAAAUAAAUGAACAUUUAAAAAAAAAAAAAAAGAUCCACACUGUGGUGCAGCUAGUUAAAACCAUAGCCUGCAGAGCCACCAUCCCUAACAGGUACCAGUUCAUUUCCUGGUGGCUCCACUUCCCAUCCAGCUCCCUGCUAAUGGUCUGGAAAAGUAGCAGAGGAUAGUCCAACUUCUUGGGCUCCUGCAGCCACAUCAGGCAUCUGGCUUAUGGUUCCUGGCCUCAGUCUAGCACAGCCCAGGCUAUUACAGCUAUUUGGGAAGUGAACCAGCAGAUGGAACAUCAUAGAAUAAAAGAAAUAAUUAAAAUUAAAAAGAAACAAAAACAAAAAAAUUCUUGUCAUUCUGCCUUUCUGAUUUAAAAAAUUAUAAAAUGAAAAACUGAUCAUAAAAAUUAUGACUCAAGUUGACAUAUGAUGGAUCCAAGAAAGCUACUGCUGUCUAGUGCCCCUUAAUGCUUUCCUACAGAAAAAUCAUUUAUCUUGCUUUCCAAGUACUCAAAUAUCAAAAGCACCAAUGCUACCCAGUAUAACUCUGUUUAAGGCUGCUUCAGUAUUGAAGGAAAAGAAAAGGAGCAAGGGGCACAAACCCAGGAUGGUUUCAGGGUGACAGGAUCCUCAUUUUGCACCUUGGUUUCUAAUUGGAGAUGGUCACACAGGGAACUUCAGAUACUGCAGAGCUGCCCAAACACAGUCAAUCACAGACAUUGUCAUAGGCUCCCUGUGUGUACACUGGAAGGAGAACACAGAGCACUCCACAGGCAGAAUUGUGUUAAACAAAAUUUCUCUACCCUGCUGACCACAAUCUCAAGAAUGUCCUGAUCAAAAUGCCAUUUUGGUUCAAGAAAUAGACUAUCUGACCUUUUCUCCACUCAGAUAUAUUCCUGUGUGAAGAAUCCAUUUCCCUGGGGGCAUGGCACCACCACACAAUGCAAACCAGGCUAAUAGCAGAGCUAUGGCUUUGAUGCUCUGAGGAGAAUGGAUAACAUCUAUGAGAUCUGAAUGGACUAAAAAGCUCUAGGAUUCUGAUACAGAUUUGAAUUAAAAGAUAGAAACAUGCCGGCACCGCGGCUCAUUAGGCUAAUCCUCCGCCUUGCGGCGCUAGCACACCGGGUUCUAGUCCUGGUCGGGGUGCCGGAUUCUGUCCCGGUUGCCCCUCUUCCAGGCCAGCUCUCUGCUAUGGCCAGGGAGUGCAGUGGACGAUGGCCCAAGUGCUUGGGCCCUGCACCCCAUGGGAGACCAGGAGAAGCACCUGGCUCCUGCCUUCGGAUCAGUGCGGUGCACUGGCCACAGUGCACCGGCCGCGGCGGCCAUUGGAGGGUGAACCAAUAACAAAAGGAAGACCUUUCUCUCUGUCUCUCUCUCUCACUGUCCACUCUGCCUGUCAAAAAAAAAAAAAAAAAAAAAAAGAAACACAAAAAUCAACUGAAUCUGUUAGGUGAGAAGAAAGGAAUAUUGCUCUCCAGUGGUUACUUUGUAGCAUAUUAGCCUUCAGAGUUUCAUUUUCUACUUAUAUUUGAGGAAAUAAAGAUUGAGUCAGUUCCAUCCUAACACAUAGCAGCUUUAGCCACUGAUCACAUUACAGCUAGCCUUGAUCACUACCUCUCACUUAACAAAUGACAAACUAAAAUAGAACAUUCUAAUGGAUUGCUGACACCUGUUCAACAGGCAUCUCCAAGACUUUGACACACAAUUCCACAGAAGGGGAAUGGUGGGGCUGGUAUUGUGGCACAGUGGGUUAAGCCACCACAGCCUCAAAUGCUUGCAUCCCCUAUGAGUGCCAGUUUUUUCUCCCCAGAUGGGCACAACAGCCAGGGCUGAGUCAGGUGGAAAUCAGGAGCCAGGAGCUUCAUCCAGGUCUCCCACAUAGGUAGC